UAGCUCAAAUGGUAAAGAAUCUGCCUGCAAUGCAGGAGACCCAGGUUCAAUCCCUGG
rnacentral:tRNA from 1 species